rnacentral:lncRNA from 1 species
AACAAACGAGAAUUUUCCAUGUCCAUUUUUAACUGGCAAGUCCCAAUCAAAUAUAUUAGUACGUAGCUUUGGAUCCAUCCCAUCAUUUUAUAAUAGACAAUGUGGAGAAUACGGCAUAAAAAAUGUCCAACUCUUACACUUUACAGCAACUAUAAAAUAUACAUGCCCAAAGUCAAGAACCGUUUAAAAAGUGCAUUUUAAACUAAUUUUAUGCUUUUAGUCUAAAAAAGGUCCCAAAAAUUGUUCGCCUCGCUCCGCUCGGCGAUUUUUAGUUACUUCGUCCCCCCUUUCCAAAAUCCUGGAUCCGCCCCUGUUA